UAAGUUACUAAGGGCACACGGUGGAUGCCCUGGCGAUGAUAGCCGAAGAAGGACGUGGUAGGCUGCGAUAAGCCUCGGGGAGCCGCCGAACAGGCUUUGAUCCGGGGAUCUCCGAAUGGGGAAACCUGCCAGGGGUAAUGCCCUGGCAUCCAUGUCUGAAUCCAUAGGGUAUGGAGGGGAACCAGGGGAACUGAAACAUCUUAGUACCCUGAGGAAAGAAAAUCAACCGAGACUCCCGUAGUAGCGGCGAGCGAAAGGGGAUGAGCCUAAACCUAUCAGAUGCCAUAGCGUGCGGGCGUUGUCUGAUAGGGGUUGUAGGAAUUACCUGGUGCUACCGCAUUAGCGCCGAGGAGUUACAAAGGCAGAGCAUAGUAGAAGGGCCUGGAAAGGCCAACCAGAGAAGGUAAGAGUCCUGUAUACGAAAUGCUCUGUUCUCCUGGUAAUUUCCUGAGUACGACGGGACCCGAGAAAUCCUGUCGGAAUCUGCGGGGACCACCCUGCAAGGCUAAGUACUUAUCAUCGACCGAUAGUGAACUAGUACCGUGAGGGAAAGGUGAAAAGAACCCCGGGAGGGGAGUGAAAUAGUACCUGAAACCGUGUGCUUACAAGUUGUGGAAGGGUGUGUGCUUUGGCAUGCGCCUGACUGCCUACUUAUUGAAGAACGGACCGGCGAGUUAUGGUAUGCAGCAAGGUUAAGGCGAAGAGCCGGAGCCGCAGCGAAAGCGAGUCCUAAUAGGGCGUUUAAGUUGCAUGCUAUAGACCCGAAACUGAGUGAGCUAUCCAUGGCCAGGGUGAAGCGAGGGCAAGACCUCGUGGAGGCCCGAACCCACUAGCGUUGAAAAGCUAGGGGAUGAGCUGUGGAUAGGGGUGAAAGGCCAAUCAAACUCAGAGAUAGCUGGUUCUCCCCGAAAUAGCUUUAGGGCUAGCCUCAGGCGUUUAAUCUUGGUGGUAGAGCACUGAAUGGGUUAGGGGCCUUACCAGGUUACCAAACCCAAUCAAACUCCGAAUGCCAGGAUUCCAGAGCCUGGGAGUCAGACUGCGGGGGAUAAGCUUCGUAGUCGAGAGGGGAAAAGCCCAGACCAUCAGCUAAGGUCCCCAAAUAUGGACUAAGUGGGAAAGGAUGUGGAAUCGCCCAGACAGCCAGGAGGUUGGCUUAGAAGCAGCCAUCCUUCAAAGAGUGCGUAACAGCUCACUGGUCAAGUGAUUCUGCGCCGAUAAUGUAACGGGGCUCAAGUCCAUUACCGAAGCUAUGGAAUGCGAGAGCAAUCUCGUGUUGGUAGGGGAGCAUUUCCUGGGGAGUGAAGCCGGACCAGAAGGUCCGGUGGACCGCAGGGAAGAGAGAAUGCCGGUAUGAGUAGCGAGAGACGGGCGAGAAACCCGUCCGCCGAAAGCCCAAGGUUUCCUGGGGAAGGUUAAUCCGCCCAGGGUCAGUCGGGACCUAAGUCGAGGCCGAAAGGCGUAGGCGAUGGAGAACGGGUUAAUAUUCCCGUACCACCAUGUUGUGUUAUCAGCGAUGGGGGGACGCAGGAAGGUAGGCCAGCGCGGUUUGGUUAUCUGCGUACAAGCGUUUAGGGUGUCUUCCAGGAAAAUCCGGAAGACGUGUGCCUGAGGCGCGAUGUCGAUCCUCUUUUGGAGAAGUGGUUGAUCCUCUACUGCCAAGAAAAGCCUCUAGUGAGCAACGUGGUGCCCGUACCAAAACCGACACAGGUGGGCGAGGAGAGAAUCCUAAGGCGAUCGAGAGAACCCUGGUUAAGGAACUCGGCAUACUGACCCCGUAACUUCGGAAGAAGGGGUGCCUCGUUAGGGUGAAGGGACUUGCUCCCGGAGCCCGAGGAGGUCGCAGCGAACAGGCCCAAGCGACUGUUUACUAAAAACACAGGCCUCUGCUAAGUCGCAAGACGAUGUAUAGGGGCUGACGCCUGCCCGGUGCCGGAAGGUUACGGGGAGGGGUUAGCCUUGAGGCAACUCAAGGCGAAGCUCUGAACCUAAGCCCCGGUAAACGGCGGCCGUAA
rnacentral:rRNA from 1 species